rnacentral:rRNA from 1 species
GAUGAACGCUGGCGGCAUGCUUAAUACAUGCAAGUCGGACGGGCAACACGGGAACCGGUGUUUCUGGUGUCGGCCGGGUACGUAACGCGUAAGAACGUGUCCUUGGGAGGGGAACAACAGAUGGAAACGGCUGAUAAUACCCCGUAGGCUGUGGUGUAAUAGGAGGAAUCCAUCCGAGGAGGGGCACGCGACUGAUUACCCAGUUGGUGAGGCAAUAGCUUACCAAGCCGAUGAGCAGUAGCAGGUCCGAGAGGAUGAUCAGCCACACUGCGACGGAGACACGGACUAGGGUCCUAUGGGAGACAGGAGUGGGGAAUAUGCCGCAAUGGGCGAAAGCCGGACGGGGCAAUGCCGCGGGGAAGUAGAAUUCCCACGGGUCGUGAACUUCGUUUCCCAGAGAAGAAGCAAUGACGGUAUCUGGUGAAUAAGCAUCGGCUAACUCGGUG